UAUUGUCGUCAUCAUCAUCAUCAUCAUCAUCAUUAUUAUUAUUAUUAUUAUUGUUGUUGUUGUUGUUGUUGUUGUUGUUAUUGUUAUUGUUGUUGUUGUUGUUGUUGUUGUUGUUGUUGUUUUUGUUAUCUACUUGUGUUAGCGAGACGAGGUAGAAGCAGUGCCCAUGACCUUUGCAGGGCCUAAGGAAACCGGCUAAUAGGUAGGGAUGGUUGGGGGGGGGGGGCAGAGAUAAUGAAGCUGCGAUUCAUAUGGUUGUUGUAAUAGAGGAACAAGCACAUCAAGCAAAAAAAAUAAAGAAAUAAAAACAAAAUAAAAAAAGAAACUAUCCUAAGCCAGAGCGGGUGGGGCGGGGCGGGGCCUGGUCCGAAUGAUGGAGUGGAGUGGACACACCAAACGCACCAAACGGCCAAUCGGUGACUGGAUUUAAACCGGACGACGGACGAACAACCUCUACCGUUCCCAACACCUCACCACUACAAACACACCACCCCCACUACUACUACUACUACUACUACUACUGCUGCUGCUGCUACUACUACUACUACUACUACUACUACUACUACUACUACUGCUGCUGCUGCUGCUGCUGCUACUACUACUACUACUACUACUCCUGCUGCUGCUGCUACUACUACUACUACUACUACUACUACUACUACUGCUGCUGCUGCUGCUACUACUGCUGCUACUGCGGCUUCGCCUACUACUACUACUACUACCACUACUACUGCUACUACUGCUGCUGCUUCUUCUACUACUACUACUACUACUACUGCUGCUGCUGCUGCUUCUACUACUACUACUACUACUACUACUACUGCUGCUGCUGCUUCUUCUACUACUACUACUACUACUACUACUACUACUACUGCUGCUGCUGCUGCUGCUGCUGCUGCUCUACUACUACUACUACUACUACUACUACUACUACUACUACUACUACUGCUACUACUGCAGCUACUUCUACUACUACUACUACUACUACUACUACUACUACUACUACGUCUACUACUACUACUACUACGUCUACUACUACUACUACUACUACUACUACUACUACUACUACUACUACCUUUAUCGAUUAGCUCUCUACUAUAUUCUUGUUUCCUCUCCCAUCACACACUAUCUGCUUUUUGUCGUCAUAUUUAUUAGACUGAAUGUUUGUCAAAGUAUCUUUUCUCUCUUUCUCUUUCUCUCUCUCUCUCUCUCUCCCUCUCUGCAUCGCACAGACUUGUACUCAUACAACACUCGUUCUUUUACUAGUAAAAUUUCUUUCUCUAUAUCUACCUCAACUUUUCUUCUCUUACUCUUAUUUCUCCUCACUUUCAUAUCUCUCCCUCUCACCUCUCCCUCUCUCCGCCUCUCUUUCUCUCUCUCUCUCCCUCUCUAUCCAUCUGUCUAUCUAUCCAUCUCUCUAUCUCACUUUCUCUUUUGUCCCUCACUGUCUGUCUUUCUCUUCGAUAUGAUCCUAUUUAUGCCUUUUAAGAACUGAUAAAUUCACCAUUAUCUUCUACUACUGAGCUUUUUAACCAGCGAGAGGUCCUCAGCAACGUUACUCAAUCUACUAAAAUAGCAGUCAAAUCUCCCUCCAAUAACACUCUACCCUCUUAGAAAAGGAAAUGGUAUAUGGCAUAAUGUAGUUCUAGAGAAAGCAUGUCUGAAUUAUUGAGUAGAUUGAGUUUGAUCUUAGGCCUGCUCGAUCAGAAAUGAUUGAGGCCUAAGUAUCUCUCUUUUACUCUCUUUUACUUGUUUCAGUCAUGUGACAGUGGCCAUGCUGGAGCACCGCCUUUAGUCGAGCAGAUCGACCCCAGGACUUGUUCGUUGUAAGCCUUGUACUUAUUCUAUCGGUCAUCUUUUGCCGAACCGCUAAGUUACGGGGACGUAAACACACCAGCAUCGGUUGUCAAGCGAUAUUAGGGGGACAAACACACACACACACAUAUAUAUAUAUAUAUAUAGGAUGGGCUUCUUUCAGUUUCCGUCUACCAAAUCCACUCACAAGGCUUGGUCGGCCUGAGGCUAUAGUAGAAGACACUUGCCCAAGGUCCCACGCAGUGGGACUGAACCCGGAACCAUGUGGUUCGUAAGCAAGCUACUUACAACACAGCCAUUCCUACGCCUAUCCACUCCUAUAUUAACAUUUCCCUAUAAAAUGAAAGAGUACAGCGUCGUUCAUACUGCUAGUUGCGCCAGAUUUCUCGCAAGUCACAGUCUAACUUUAAGAAAAGGAAAAGAAUCACCGGACAGUGUGGUUCUGGAUAUACAAAGGGUGGAAUGGCCAUAACCGGAUGGCCUUUCUUAAUAGAUCUUUUUAGGCAGAUCUAACUAUAAUUCAUUAGCUCCUUUUCUUAAUCUCCUGAUACUCUUUCAAACUCAUUCAUCAACAUCUUACUUCCCUAUUUCUCGAUCAUCUCCGAUCUACACAUCAACUUAGGUUGCACACACCGGCGUACCUCAUACAUACAUACAUACAUACAUACAUACAUACAUACAUACAUACAUACAUACAUACAUACAUAAUUGUUUGAUUCAAAUUCAGGGGACCCCAAAGGUGAAAUCAACGGUAGAUCAGAUAAUCUAGACCAGCCGUUUGUUUCUCUGAUCUUUUUAAAAAAUUCAAUAAAUGCAUGUAUAAUAAAUAGGGAUAGUAUAAAAUAACUCGUCGAUAUCUAUAAUAUCGGACGAUAUAGUAUAACAGUGGGAUAUUGUUUUCAUCCUUCAGCUUAACCGUAAGAAUUUUGGUAUCAAACACAGAGGUACUGCGAGUAACUGAAACUAGCGGUAGCGUCGUGGUAAAUUCCACGACGCUACCACUUAUAAGCUACCACUAUAUUUGGCUUAUAGUUUUGCUGUAGGGACUCAAGCAUUUAUCCCUUCUGAGAAUAAAGCUCUAACCUCACGCUGUACUAGGAAUAUGAGUUGGACUGCAAGUUAACAGAACCACUCUGUGUAACCACUGAUUUCAGCGAUGUGAUGCACCUAUCCAUUUGAGAUUUAGCCUUGCCCCACGCAAAUCUUAUCUUUUUGUUAUAAACUUAUUAUUAUAGUGUCUACUCUUGAUCGUUUUAAAACCCAACUAUUUGCGUGUUGUCUCUCGUUCAUUGAUAUUGUCUACCAUGAUUUGGGACUUUGUGGCCAAUAAAAGAAAUAAUGAUGAUGAUUAUUAUUAUUGUUAUUGUUGUUGUUGUUAGUAGCAUUAGUAUUAGUAUUAGUACUCUGAGUGAACUGGCGCUACUGACAUAAUAGGAAACCGCUGACAUUAUAAAACUGAACGAACUAAAACUUACCCUUACGACUCACACGUCUCCAAAGUGAGCAACCAAUACAUAUAUACAUAUAUAUAUAUAUAUAUAUAUAUAUAUAUAUAUAUAUAUAUAUAUAUAUAUAUGUAUGUAUAUAUAUAUAUAUGUAUAUAUAUAUAUAUAUAUAUAUAUAUAUAUAUAUAUACAUAUGUUAUAUAUAUAUAUAUGUGUAUGUAUAUAUAUAUGUGUGUAUAUAUAUAUAUAUGUAUGUAUAUAUAUAUAUAUAUAUAUAUAUAUAUAUAUAUAUAUAUAUAUAUAUAUAUAUAACGAACAAGGAGUUAGGUGAGUAAUAAAUAAAUAAAUGAUAUUUUAAGAAACAAAAGACUGCCGGCUUCCUUUAAUGUCUACAACUGCUUCAAACAACUAAUAUCAAGGAAAAAGCAAUACUAGACAAAAUAUGAGUUCAUUCUUAAGACACAAACGAUUUUUCAUUAUUUAUAUUAUUAUUAAUAUUCUGUUUUGUCUUCUUAAUGGACACCGUCCCCAGCCCUAUCAAUUAUAUCGACCCUGCAGAGAUGAAAGGCAAAUAGGAUCCAUAUACAGAUACACAUAGGUGAAUAUGUGCAUUAAUAUAUAUUUACACUAUAUGUAUGCAUGCAUGUAUGCUUAUAUUUAUGUGAUAUGUUGACUAUGCACAUUAAUAGAUGUAUAUGUAUGUAUAUAUAUAUAUUUAUAUAGAUCGUGUAUGUAAUUAUGUAUGUAUUUUAUUAUUGUGAGGAUAAGUUCGGGCAAGUGGAAACAGUGAGUUUAUGAGUGUUUGCAAUGGUCUUUACACAGUGCGUGUAUGGGAUAUUUUGAAGCAAACUCAAAUUUGAUGGGAGGGCGAAAAUUUACUGCCUUUAGAAAAAAACGCCAUUGUUUUUCCCGUCCAGAUUUAUUAGGCUCCGAAAAAAAGAAAAACGUAUCUCUCUCUCUCUCACACCCUCACCCCCUCUCUCUUUCAUCCUUUCCUUCGCUAUGUAUGCAUGCAUGUGUACGUGUAUGAAUAUAUGUUUGCGUAUAAAUAUAAUAUUUGUAUCAUACAAUAUAUGAAAUAGAUAGAUAGAUAGAUAGAUAGAUAGAUAGAUAGAUAGAUAGAUAGAUAGAUAGAUAGAUAGAUAGAUAGAUAGAUAGACAGAUAGAUAGAUAGAUAGAUAGAAAUAGAGACAGAAAAAGAGAGAUUAUAAUAAUAUAUUAAUAAAAUAGACAUGCGCGCGCGCGCACAUACACACACAAACACAUGAGUACAACCAAAUCGAAAAGACAACAGAAUAUAUAAUUAAGAACAUAAUGGAUAAAGUACUCAAAAUAUUCUCUAUUUUCUCAAGGUACGAUUAUAAGUCCUAGGACAAUGUAACUGUUUACGAGGGUGGGCUGAAAAGUUUAUAGGUUAACUAUGAAAGUGUGAUGCCAGAGCUGUGAAAUCUUUCAUGCAUUCAUUUCAACUGUUGUCAUUAAUAACUGCAUUGUUUCUUUCCAGGUAAACUGUUAUCUGAUUGU
rnacentral:lncRNA from 1 species